rnacentral:rRNA from 1 species
AUUGAACGCUGGCGGCAGGCCUAACACAUGCAAGUCGAGCGGUAGAGAGGUGCUUGCAUCUCUUGAGAGCGGCGGACGGGUGAGUAAUGCCUAGGAAUCUGCCUAGUGGUGGGGGAUAACGUUCGGAAACGGACGCUAAUACCGCAUACGUCCUACGGGAGAAAGCGGGGGAUCUUCGGACCUCGCGCCAUUAGAUGAGCCUAGGUCGGAUUAGCUAGUUGGUGAGGUAAUGGCUCACCAAGGCGACGAUCCGUAACUGGUCUGAGAGGAUGAUCAGUCACACUGGAACUGAGACACGGUCCAGACUCCUACGGGAGGCAGCAGUGGGGAAUAUUGGACAAUGGGCGAAAGACCUGAUCCAGCCAUGCCGCGUGUGUGAAGAAGGUCUUCGGAUUGUAAAGACACUUUAAGUUUA